AUUGAACGCUGGCGGCAGGCCUAGCACAUGCAAGUCGAGCGGGAACUUCGGUUCUAGCGGCGGACGGGUGAGUAAUGCGUAGGAAGCUACCCGACAGAGGGGGAUACCAGUUGGAAACGACUGUUAAUACCGCAUAAUGUCUACGGACCAAAGUGUGGGACCUUCGGGCCACAUGCUGUCGGAUGCGCCUACGUGGGAUUAGCUAGUUGGUGAGGUAAUGGCUCACCAAAGCGACGAUCCCUAGCUGGUUGGAGAAGAUGAUCAGCCACACUGGAACUGGGACACGGUCCAGACUCCUACGGGAGGCAGCAGUGGGGAAUAUUGGACAAUGGGCGAAAGCCUGAUCCAGCCAUGCCGCGUGUGUGAAGAAGGCCUUCGGGUUGUAAAGCACUUUCAGUAGGGAGGAAGAGUUGAGUGUUAAUAGUACUCAGCUUUGACGUUACCUACAGAAGAAGCACCGGCUAACUCUGUGCCAGCCGCCGCGGUAAUAC
rnacentral:rRNA from 1 species